rnacentral:rRNA from 1 species
UACAGAGGGGGCAAGCGUUGUUCGGAAUUACUGGGCGUAAAGGGCGCGUAGGCGGCCUGUUAAGUCGGACGUGAAAUCCCUCGGCUCAACCGGGGAACUGCGUCCGAUACUGGCGGGCUUGAAUUCGGGAGAGGGAUGUGGAAUUCCAGGUGUAGCGGUGAAAUGCGUAGAUAUCGAGAGGAACACCUGCGGCGAAGGCGGGUUGCUGGGCUGAUACUGACGCUGAGGCGCGAAAGCCAGGGGAGCGAACGGG